rnacentral:rRNA from 1 species
UUCUGUAAGCCUGCGAAGGUGGCCUGUGAGGGUUGCUGGAGGUAUCAGAAGUGCGAAUGCUGACAUAAGUAACGAUAAAGCGGGUGAAAAGCCCGCUCGCCGGAAGACCAAGGGUUCCUGUCCAACGUUAAUCGGGGCAGGGUGAGUCGACCCCUAAGGCGAGGCCGAAAGGCGUAGUCGAUGGGAAACGGGUUAAUAUUCCCGUACUUGGUGUUACUGCGAAGGGGGGACGGAGAAGGCUAUGUUGGCCGGGCGACGGUUGUCCCGGUUUAAGCGUGUAGGUGUGUGUUCCAGGUAAAUCCGGUUCACUUUAACACUGAGGCGUGAUGACGAGGCACUACGGUGCUGAAGCAACAAAUGCCCUGCUUCCAGGAAAAGCCUCUAAGCAUCAGGUAACAUCAAAUCGUACCCCAAACCGACACAGGUGGUCAGGUAGAGAAUACCAAGGCGCUUGAGAGAACUCGGGUGAAGGAACUAGGCAAAAUGGUGCCGUAACUUCGGGAGAAGGCACGCUGACACGUAGGUGAAGUGAUUUACUCAUGGAGCUGAAGUCAGUCGAAGAUACCAGCUGGCUGCAACUGUUUAUUAAAAACACAGCACUGUGCAAACACGAAAGUGGACGUAUACGGUGUGACGCCUGCCCGGUGCCGGAAGGUUAAUUGAUGGGGUCAGCGCAAGCGAAGCUCCUGAUCGAAGCCCCGGUAAACGGCGGCCGUAACUAUAACGGUCCUAAGGUAGCGAAAUUCCUUGUCGGGUAAGUUCCGACCUGCACGAAUGGCGUAAUGAUGGCCAGGCUGUCUCCACCCGAGACUCAGUGAAAUUGAACUCGCUGUGAAGAUGCAGUGUACCCGCGGCAAGACGGAAAGACCCCGUGAACCUUUACUAUAGCUUGACACUGAACAUUGAGCCUUGAUGUGUAGGAUAGGUGGGAGGCUUUGAAGUGUGGACGCCAGUCUGCAUGGAGCCGGCCUUGAAAUACCACCCUUUAAUGUUUGAUGUUCUAACGUGGACCCGUGAUCCGGGUUGCGGACAGUGUCUGGUGGGUAGUUUGACUGGGGCGGUCUCCUCCUAAAGAGUAACGGAGGAGCACGAAGGUUGGCUAAUCCUGGUCGGACAUCAGGAGGUUAGUGCAAUGGCAUAAGCCAGCUUGACUGCGAGCGUGACGGCGCGAGCAGGUGCGAAAGCAGGUCAUAGUGAUCCGGUGGUUCUGAAUGGAAGGGCCAUCGCUCAACGGAUAAAAGGUACUCCGGGGAUAACAGGCUGAUACCGCCCAAGAGUUCAUAUCGACGGCGGUGUUUGGCACCUCGAUGUCGGCUCAUCACAUCCUGGGGCUGAAGUAGGUCCCAAGGGUAUGGCUGUUCGCCAUUUAAAGUGGUACGCGAGCUGGGUUUAGAACGUCGUGAGACAGUUCGGUCCCUAUCUGCCGUGGGCGCUGGAGAACUGAGGGGGGCUGCUCCUAGUACGAGAGGACCGGAGUGGACGCAUCACUGGUGUUCGGGUUGUCAUGCCAAUGGCACUGCCCGGUAGCUAAAUGCGGAAGAGAUAAGUGCUGAAAGCAUCUAAGCACGAAACUUGCCCCGAGAUGAGUUCUCCCUGAGACUUUAGGUCUCCUGAAGGAACGUUGAAGACGACGACGUUGAUAGGCCGGGUGUGUAAGCGCAGCGAUGCGUUGAGCUAACCGGUACUAAUGAACCGUGAGGCUUAACCUUACAACGCCGAAG